UCUCAAAAUCAGAAAAGUAAAAUAAAAUAAGAAGUAAUCAAAUUACAACCCCAAACCGUAAAGCCUCAUCAUAUGUUCUGCUCUCUUACGGUUUUACCCCGCUCCGUCUCUCGACUGUUCUGCAAAUUCGCCGCCAACGGCGUCCACCACCUCUCUAUCGUCUCCCUCUCUCACCUACUCUCUAACCCUCUGCGCCCCACUCUUCACUAUCUCCUCUCUCUAACCUAUUGGGGAAAGAGAAAUCUUCAGUUGUUCUGCUCUUUCUAACCUUGGACGAGUUCUCCGUGUCUAUUUUUCUCUUCAUUUCACCGAUUUAUGUCUCUCUACAGUGGUCUCUCUCUAAAAGCAAUUGAAAUAUUCUCGAACUCUAUUUUUCAGGUAUCGCUAUUGGAUUGGUCUUGCAAUUCCUAAAGGCUAGCUCAUCUUUGGUUAAACCUGAACCUACAUGUUAAGUCUUACCUUUGUCAUUCCAGUAUACAUGUUCUCUUUCUUUAGCAUUUAUCAUUGUAAUUGACUUUUCUUGCAUGCUAGUUGAAUAACAUUGACGAAGUGUCGAGUUAUGUUUAUACGAGCUCCAUAAAAGAAGAACGAAGAGCUGAGAGCGCAAUGGAUUUGCAAAAUGAGAACGAAGAUGUCAUCGCACAAUUAAAGGUUAAGUUUUUGGCUGCAAGUCCGGGGUAAACAUAAGUUGCUGUUAAGUUGCUGUUAAGUUGAGAUGGGAGACCGUAAGUGUUUCCGACUGAUACUUGUUAGUUUUGUGGAUGUUCAUGUUAGGUUUUGAAAUGUCACUUGGUGUAUGUAUUUGACUUAUGUGAUUAAAGUCUUGAUUAAUAAAUAUGUGAUUAAAUGAAGUAUACAUUACAUUUGUUAUGAA